GGCCGCAGUAUUUUGACUGUGCAAAGGUAGCAUAAUCAUUAGUCUUUUAAUUGGAGGCUGGAAUGAAUGGUUGGACGAGGCAAAAAUCUAUCUUAUAAUAAUUAAGAUUGAAUUUAGAAUUUAAGUAAAAAUACUUAAAUUGAGUUAAGGGACGAGAAGACCCUAUAGAGUUUAAUAUAUUAAGUGUUAAUUGAGUUUAAAUUAAUGUAAUUUUUGGUUAAUAUGUCAUAUAUUUAGUUGGGGUGACUAAAAGAUAAAAGUAACUCUUUUUUGUAGUAAAUAAUUUUAUUAAGUUUAAGAUCCACAAAAUAGUGAUUAUAAGAUUAAAUUACCUUAGGGAUAACAGCAUAA
rnacentral:rRNA from 1 species